AGGCUUGAGCCACUGCGCCCAGCUGUGUACUUUGAUUUUCAAUAAAUCCCUUCAUUCCUUCCUUAUUUUGUUUGUGCCUUUUGUCUAAUUCUUUGUUCAAGACACCAAGAAACUGGACACCCUCCACCGGUAACAUAUUUUGGCGAGCCAGCCAGGAGAAGGUGUGGUCCCUGAUCCCUACGGUGGUGGUGGUAACUCACACUUGUUUCAGUUCUGAAACUGCUCUUCCUGCUGCUGGAGCCCCCACCCCUGCUCCAUUUUGAAGUAGCUGAUCCGGAUCAGCUUAGAUUGUGCCAAGUUUCAAGAAAAAGAUGAAAUAUGAGUUGCAUUUUGACAAAUGAAGAGGAUGUGAAGGGCAGAAGGAGCAGAAACUACCAGCAGAGAUGCUAAGAUGAAAGGCACAGAGUGCAAGUUGGAUUGAAAAAACAAGACCUAUCCGAGUGCUGACUUCAAAAGACUCAUCUCAUACAUAAUGACACCCAUAGGCUCAAAGUAAAGGAUUGGAUAAAUAUUUAUUAUGCAAAUGGAAAACAAAACAAAAAAAAG
rnacentral:lncRNA from 1 species